rnacentral:tRNA from 1 species
GCCCGAGAGGUCCUGUUCCAGGACCUUGUCCUCGCGGCGGACAAACGGGGCGUCCUCCCGGCCGUCGUACAGGUCCACGCCCGGGCCC